GUGCUUCCUUCAGCAGCACAUAUACUAAACUUGGAACAAUACAGAGAUUAGCGUGGCCCCUACGCAAGGAUGACAUGCAAAUUUGUGAAGCAUUUCAUAUAUAA
rnacentral:snRNA from 10 species